rnacentral:tRNA from 1 species
UGCGGGAUCGUCUAAUGGUAGGACACCGGCCUUUGAAGCCGAGAAUCAUAGUUCGAAUCUAUGUCCCGCAACCA